rnacentral:rRNA from 1 species
UACGAAGGGGGCUAGCGUUGCUCGGAAUCACUGGGCGUAAAGCGCGCGUAGGCGGCUUUCUAAGUCAGGGGUGAAAGCCCGGGGCUCAACCCCGGAACUGCCUUUGAAACUAGGUAGCUAGAAUCUUGGAGAGGUCAGUGGAAUUCCGAGUGUAGAGGUGAAAUUCGUAGAUAUUCGGAAGAACACCAGUGGCGAAGGCGACUGACUGGACAAGUAUUGACGCUGAGGUACGAAAGCGUGGGGAGCAAACAGG